rnacentral:rRNA from 1 species
GAUGAACGCUGGCGGCGUGCCUAAUACAUGCAAGUCGAGCGGAAGGACGAGAAGCUUGCGGCUCUGAUGUUAGGCGAGGGCGGGAGUGUCACGUGUGUAUAACGUACCUGUAUGACUGGGAUCACUUGGGAACUGGGGCUAUUACACCAGAGAAGCUUCUGCAGCGCGGGGGGGGUAGGAGAGAGACGGCGUUGCGGGCUGGACUAGCGGCUUCUGCGCUGGAUUGGCUGGUUGUUAGGGUAACGGGUUACCAAGGGAACGAUGCGUAGCCGACUUGAGAGAGUGGUCGGCCACCCUGGAACUGAGCCACGGACCAGGCUCCUACGGGAGGCAGCAGUAGGGAAUCUUCCGCAAUGGGCGGAAGCCUGGCGGAGCAACGCCGCGUGAGUGAUGGAGGUCUUCGGAUCGUAAUACUCUGUUAUUAGGUGAGAACAUAUGUGGACGUAACUGUGCACAUCUUGACGGUACCUAAUCAGAAAGCAACGGCUAACUACGUG